GCUGGCGGCGUGCCUAACACAUGCAAGUCGAACGAGAAAGUGGAGCAAUCCAUGAGUAAAGUGGCGACCGGGUGAGUAACACGUGACUAACCUACCUCCGAGUGGGGUAUAACUCCGGGAAACCGGGGCUAAUACCGCAUAACAUCGCAAGAUCAAAGCAGCAAUGCGCUUGGAGAGGGGGUCGCGGCUGAUUAGCUAGUUGGCGGGGUAACGGCCCACCAAGGCGAAGAUCGGUAUCCGGCCUGAGAGGGCGCACGGACACACUGGAACUGAAACACGGUCCAGACUCCUACGGGAGGCAGCAGUGGGGAAUUUUGCGCAAUGGGGGAAACCCUGACGCAGCAACGCCGCGUGGAGGAUGAAGCCCUUUGGGGCGUAAACUCCUUUCGACUCGGACGAUAAUGACGGUACGAGUGGAAGAAGCACCGGCUAACUCUGUGCCAGCAGCCGCGGUAAUACAAAGGGCGCAAGCGUUGUUCGGAAUUAUUGGGCGUAAAGGGCGCGUANGCGGUGCGGUAAGUCACCUGUGAAACCUCCCGGCUUUACUGGGAGCCUGCAGGCGAAACUACCGUGCUGGAGUGU
rnacentral:rRNA from 1 species